AUGUUAUAUUCAUGCCCCAAUCAUAAGGUCUCAAGAGAAAUGAUUAUUCAAAAAAAUUAUGCUCGGCUUUCUCUCAGUAAUCGCUCCAUACUCGAUACUUCUUGUACUGGAUCUUUUAUGAUGAAGACUAUUGAAUUCAAAUGGGAUUUAUUGGAAAGAAUUAAAUGCAACUCUGAAGAUUGGGACCUCGACGAUGGUAAGGAGUUAGGUAUAACACCUAAGUUUGAUUGUGUUAAAUAUUUUAUGGAUACCGAUGCUUUCCAUGAAUUUAGCACUAAAAAUGGACUUGACUCUGAGAUAGUAGCUUCUUUCUGUGAAUCCUUUACUACUCAUGUUGAUCUCCCAAAGGAUAAGUGGUUUAAAUAUAAUCCCCCCACUGAAGUAAAAGUAGUUGCACCUAUUAAAGUUGAAUAA
rnacentral:rRNA from 1 species